rnacentral:rRNA from 1 species
GAUGAACGCUGGCGGCAUGCCUAAUACAUGCAAGUCGAACGAGAGGAAGGAAAGCUUGCUUUCCUGAAUCUAGUGGCGAACGGGUGAGUAACACGUAGGUAACCUGCCCAUGUGCCCGGGAUAACUUCUGGAAACGGAUGCUAAAACCGGAUAGGUAGCAGACAAGCAUUUGACUGCUAUUAAAGUGGCCUUGGCCAUGAACAUGGAUGGACCUGCGGUGCAUUAGCUAGUUGGUGAGGUAACGGCCCACCAAGGCGACGAUGCAUAGCCGGCCUGAGAGGGCGGACGGCCACAUUGGGACUGAGACACGGCCCAAACUCCUACGGGAGGCAGCAGUAGGGAAUUUUCGUCAAUGGGGGGAACCCUGAACGAGCAAUGCCGCGUGAGUGAGGAAGGUCUUCGGAUCGUAAAGCUCAGUUGUAAGAGAAAAACGGCACUCAUAGGGAAUGAUGAGUGAGUGAUGGUAUCUUACCAGAAAGUCACGGCUAACUACGUGCCAGCAGCCGCCGUAA